rnacentral:misc_RNA from 1 species
GAUGAAGAACGUAGCGAAAUGCGAUAAGUAGUGUGAAUUGCAGAAUUCAGUGAAUCAUCGAAUCUUUGAACGCACAUUGCGCCCGCCAGUAUUCUGGCGGGCAUGCCUGUUCGAGCGUCAUUUCAACCCUCAGGCCCCCAGUGCCUGGCGUUGGGGAUCGGCGUGGGCGGCGAACGGCUCUCCGGAGCCCGAGCCAAUGCCUGCCGGCCCCGAAAUUCAGUGGCGGUCUCGCUGUAGUCCCCCUCUGCGUAGUAGCACAACUCGCAUUGGAGCUCGGCGGUGGCCAUGCCGUAAAACACCCCACUUCUGAAAGUUGACCUCGGAUCAGGUAGGAAUACCCGCUGAACUUAAGCAUAUCAAUAAGCGGAGGA